rnacentral:rRNA from 1 species
GACGAACGCUGGCGGCGUGCUUAACACAUGCAAGUCGAACGGUGAAGCGCCUUCCUUUUUGGUGGGUGUGGAUGAGUGGCGAACGGGUGAGUAACACGUGAGUAACCUGCCCCCUUCUUCUGGAUAACCGCAUGAAAGUGUGGCUAAUACGGGAUAUUCUGGGUCUGUCGCAUGAUGGGUCUGGGAAAGAUAUUGUUUCGGUGGGGGAUGGGCUCGCGGCCUAUCAGCUUGUUGGUGGGGUGAUGGCCUACCAAGGCGGUGACGGGUAGCCGGCCUGAGAGGGUGGCCGGCCGCGCUGGGACUGAGCCACGGCCCAGACUCCUACGGGAGGCAGCAGUGGGGAAUAUUGCACAAGGGGCGCAAGCCUGAUGCAGCGACGCCGCGUGAGGGAGGGACGCCUUCGGGUUGUGAACCUCUUUCGCUAGUGAAGCAGGCCUGCCUCGUUUGUGGGUGGGUUGACGGUAGCUGGAUAAGAAGCGCCGGCUAACUACGUG